UACGCUGGCGGCACGCCUAACACAUGCAAGUCGAACGCAGUAGCAAUACUGAGUGGCAAACGGGUGAGUAUAAUGUGGGAAUCUGCCUUUUGGUUUGGAAUAACACGGGGAAACUUGUGCUAAUACCGAAUAAGCCUUUACAGGGAAAGUUUUAACGCCGAGAGAUGAGCCCGCACUUGAUUAGCUAGUUGGUAAGGUAAAAGCUUACCAAGGCAACGAUCAAUAGCUGUUCUUAGAGGAAGACCAGCCACAUUGGGACUGAGACACGGCCCAGACUCCUACGGGAGGCAGCAGUGGGGAAUCUUGCACAAUGGGGGAAACCCUGAUGCAGCGAUGCCGCGUGAGUGAAGAAGGCCUUUGGGUUGUAAAACUCUUUCGUCGGGGAAGAAAAUGACUGUACCCGAAUAAGAAGGUCCGGCUAACUUCGUGCC
rnacentral:rRNA from 1 species